GACGAACGCUGGCGGCGUGCUUAACACAUACAAGUCGAACGGAAAGGCCCCUUCGGGGGUACUCGAGUGGCGCACGGGUGAGUAACACGUGAGUAACCUGCCCUUGACUUCGGGAUAACUUCAGGAAACUGGGGCUAAUACCGGAUAGGAAUCCUUGCUGCAUGGUGGGGGUUGGAAAGCUUCGGCGGUUUUGGAUGGACUCGCGGCUUAUCAGCUUGUUGGUGGGGUAGUGGCUUACCAAGGCUUUGACGGGUAGCCGGCCUGAGAGGGCGACCGGCCACAUUGGGACUGAGAGACGGCCCAGACGCCUACGGGAGGCAGCAGUGGGGAAGAUUGCACAAUGGGCGGAAGCCUGAUGCAGCAACGCCGCGUGCGGGAUGACGGCCUUCGGGUUGUAAACCGCGUUCAGCAGGGGCGAAGCUUGUGGUGACGGUACCUGCAGAAGAAGCACCGGCUAACUACGUG
rnacentral:rRNA from 1 species